rnacentral:misc_RNA from 1 species
AAGUUGAAAAAAGGAUUUUGCAGUACCAAACAUUUGUUGACCAAGGACUGGAAAAGGAGUCGCAAUGCAUGUUUGGAUUGGUCUUAUACAGUUUGGAUCGCCUAUUUCAUGCUGUUGAGAGGCAUGCAAAGUCAACUGGUGAAUGGCAAAGUUUGAGGCAGGAUAUUAUUGAUCUGGGAAAACCCGGCCUUCAAACUACGUAUAAGCUUGUAGUGACAUCACGAAUGGAGCGUGUCUACGAGUGCUUGCUUCCUUCCUUAAAGCAGCGAUAGCCUUUUUUUUUUAAUUCUGCUAAUGACCUCGCCUGGAAAUAAAUUAUUAAAAAGGGGAAAAAGCCUCUCUUAAUGUUGCUGUAUGCUUCAAUUUUGCAAGAAGCGUGUAGCAUCUCAAGUCAUGUGGUCGCUUGUACGACAAAGUAAGUGAUUUCUAGUUCACAUUUGUUUUCUCAUUUUGUUUUCCUUUUUCACACCAACAUUUCAUGAGCUUGUGUUCUGGGGUAAAUUUUAUCUUUUUGGCAACAUGACACGUCUUUUUGUGAUUCAAAGAAAUUUCUGUAGUCUAGUUUUAUUUUCCAUUUCAUAGUCGUUGUAAUCCUAUCUUCUUGUAAUGAUCUAUCCU